rnacentral:rRNA from 1 species
GAUGAACGCUGGCGGCGUGCCUAAUACAUGCAAGUCGAGCGAACAGACGAGGAGCUUGCUCCUCUGACGUUAGCGGCGGACGGGUGAGUAACACGUGGAUAACCUACCUAUAAGACUGGGAUAACUUCGGGAAACCGGAGCUAAUACCGGAUAAUAUAUUGAACCGCAUGGUUCAAUAGUGAAAGACGGUUUUGCUGUCACUUAUAGAUGGAUCCGCGCCGCAUUAGCUAGUUGGUAAGGUAACGGCUUACCAAGGCAACGAUGCGUAGCCGACCUGAGAGGGUGAUCGGCCACACUGGAACUGAGACACGGUCCAGACUCCUACGGGAGGCAGCAGUAGGGAAUCUUCCGCAAUGGGCGCACGCCUGCCGGAGCCCCGCCGCGUGAGUGAUGAAGGUCUUCGGAUCGUAAAACUCUGUUAUUAGGGAAGAACAAAUGUGUAAGUAACUAUGCACGUCUUGACGGUACCUAAUCAGAAAGCCACGGCUAACUACGUG